rnacentral:misc_RNA from 1 species
AACGCACAUUGCGCCCCUUGGUUAUUCCGAAGGGCAUGCCUGUUCGAGCGUCAUUAUCACCCCUCAAGCCCUGGCUUGGUGUUGGAUUUUAGUUAUAGCUUUGCCUAUCAACUGGUCUCAAAGAUAGUGACGGCGCCCCAGAGGGAACCGGGUACAAGGAGCUUUUUACUAAGCAUGUAUCUGGGACGACUCUGAUGGGCGACGGUCUUGUUAUACAUUUACCUAAGUGUUGACCUCGGAUCAGGUAGGAAUACCCGCUGAACUUAA